AUGGCGGACAGGGAGGCCCCACCUGGGUCCGGAAUCGGGAGGAAGCGGAGAUGCAGGGACGCCGGCGCCGCGGCAGGCCUACCCGACCCGGCCGCCGCCGCUGGCGGCGGCAACAGGCUCCUGGCCGGGUACCUCGCGCACGAAUUCCUUGCGUGCGGCACGGUCCUGGGUGAAAGGCGGGCGCCCGGCGGGCCGGACACGGGCUCCGAGGCCGCGCGGUACGAGGCCGUGGCAGCGCUGGUGCAGGUCGGCGGCGCCUGCGUUCCCGGGGUGGUGAACCCCGCGCAGCUCGCCGCGUGGGCGACGACACGGUGA
rnacentral:rRNA from 1 species